UUAAGUUAUUAAGGGCGCACGGUGGAUGCCUUGGCACUAGAAGCCGAUGAAGGACGUUACUAACGACGAUAUGCUUUGGGGAGCUGUAAGUAAGCUUUGAUCCAGAGAUUUCCGAAUGGGGAAACCCAGCAUGAGUUAUGUCAUGUUAUCGAUAUGUGAAUACAUAGCAUAUCAGAAGGCACACCCGGAGAACUGAAACAUCUUAGUACCCGGAGGAAGAGAAAGAAAAUUCGAUUCCCUUAGUAGCGGCGAGCGAAACGGGAAGAGCCCAAACCAACAAGCUUGCUUGUUGGGGUUGUAGGACACUCUAUACGGAGUUACAAAGGACGACAUUAGACGAAUCAUCUGGAAAGAUGAAUCAAAGAAGGUAAUAAUCCUGUAGUCGAAAAUGUUGUCUCUCUUGAGUGGAUCCUGAGUACGACGGAGCACGUGAAAUUCCGUCGGAAUCUGGGAGGACCAUCUCCUAAGGCUAAAUACUCUCUAGUGACCGAUAGUGAACCAGUACCGUGAGGGAAAGGUGAAAAGCACCCCGGAAGGG
rnacentral:rRNA from 1 species